rnacentral:rRNA from 1 species
UACGAAGGGGGGCUAGCGUUGCUCGGAAUGACUGGGCGUAAAGGGCGCGUAGGCGGAAUGCUUUGUCGGGCGUGAAAUUCCAGGGCUCAACCUUGGGGGCUGCGUUCGAGACGGGUAUUCUUGAGUUCGGAAGAGGGUCGUGGAAUUCCCAGUGUAGAGGUGAAAUUCGUAGAUAUUGGGAAGAACACCGGUGGCGAAGGCGGCCGACCUGGUCUGACUGACGCUGAGGCGCGAAAGCGUGGGGGAGCAAA